rnacentral:sRNA from 1 species
GUCUAACAUAGAAAGGAAUCUGCAGAAAGAAGCUGGUGUUCUCUCCGUGUUGGUUGCCUUGAUGGCAGGAAAGGCAGAGGUCAAGUAUGACCCAGAGGUCAUCCAGCCACUCGAGAUAGCUCAGUUCAUCCAGGACCUGGGCUUUGAGGCAGCAGUCAUGGAGGACUACGCAGGCUCCGAUGGCAACAUUGAGCUGACGAUCACAGGGAUGACCUGCGCGUCCUGUGUCCACAACAUAGAGUCCAAACUCACGAGGACAAAUGGCAUCACUUAUGCCUCCGUUGCCCUUGCCACCAGCAAAGCCCUUGUUAAGUUUGACCCAGAAAUUAUCGGUCCACGGGAUAUUAUCAAAAUUAUUGAGGAAAUUGGCUUUCAUGCUUCCCUGGCCCAGAGAAACCCCAACGCUCGUCACUUGGACCACAAGAUGGAAAUAAAGCAGUGGAAGAAGUCUUUCCUGUGCAGCCUGGUGUUUGGCAUCCCUGUCAUGGCCUUAAUGAUCUAUAUGCUGAUACCCAGCAAUGAGCCCCACCAGUCCAUGGUCCUGGACCACAACAUCAUUCCAGGACUGUCCAUUCUAAAUCUCAUCUUCUUUAUCUUGUGUACCUUUGUCCAGGUAUGUAUGAGAAAGUGGGCAGACCUCUCCCCUCCAUGCUGUGUGUGGCCCUCAGAUAUUCUGCCUGCUAAGCGCAAACAUAGUGCUUUAGCUUGGUUUAAAUGGCACUUUAUUGCAGCUUUCCUGCCCCACCCAGGCAGUUGCUGCUUUUUUUCUCUCUUAAUGACCAGUAGUUGGGGCUUGGGGCCCCCCCAGUGUGGGGGACUACUAAGGGCCUGGUUUCACUGUCAGUUUCAGUUGAUUGCAAGUGAUCAGAACUGUCCCUGGAAUAGCAACCUCCUUGCUGCAAGGUGUGGUGAACUCUGUGUCUCCAAUGUGCAUAUUGUUUAGGUUAAUUUACGUUCGUUGCUGGAAGCAACAACUGGAUCACCCUUGAGCCCAUGCCACUCUUGAGUGUUCUAUCUUAAGAGGUGGAGAUAUGGUCCUUGUCUUUCAGGAAGUUAUAAUUUAAAAGAGAAAGGCAUGAAAUGUCUGCUUUGGUGGUGAUAUUAAGGAACUAGCUGUGUGUCUGGUGGGAAGUGUGCCCUCUAUGCGUAUAUUUUGGAAUAUAAAACUAAAUCCUUGUCCUAAUAUUGGAAUGUUUAGGGGCUAUUUGGGGGCAAGCAUUGGUAGGCUGGAUUUUUUUUUUUUUUUUUUUGAGACAGGGUCUCACCCUGUCACCCAGGCUGGAGUUCAGUGAUGUGAUCAUAGUUCACUGUAGUCUUCAACUCCUGGGCUCAAGCGAUCCUCCCACCUCAGCCUCCUGAGUAGCUAGGACCACAGGCGCCUGCCACCAUGCCUGGCUAGAUAGGGUCUUGCUAUGUGCCCAGGUUGGUCUCAAACUCCUGGCCUCCAGCAGUCCUCCAAGCUCAGUCUCCCAAAGCACUGAGAUGACAGGUGUGAGCCACUGCACCCAGCCUGAAUUUGUGUUUUUCUAUAUUUUGUUUGAUUAUAAGUGUAAUGUACACUUAUUAUUAACAAUUCAAACUGUACUGAAGUAUAAGAAGAAAAGAGGAAGAUGCCCUUUCACUGAUGACAUUCUGCCUCCCGCCCAAUCUCAUUCCCCAGUGUUGCUAUGGUGAUAUUAAUAGUUGGGCAUUAAUCUCUCCAAAUCUUUAUAUAGAGAAAAUGCACACUUGCGUGUAUGUGUAUGUAUAUGUUCACGUAAUACAGAUACAGACUUUUUUAACUGAAAUGGGAUCAUACAAGAUAGACUGAUGUGCAGCUGGCUUUUUCCCUUAACCAGGUAUUAGACAUCUUUUAUGCCAGUGGGUUAUAGAUAGAGCCCAUUCUCUUUAGGGAAUGGAAUGCCUUGUGCUGUCUACAGUACAAAUGAGUCGUGAUUUUUUUCCCCAACUUUUCACCAUUCUCUUAUUAGAGGACAUUUGUGUUGUAUGCACUGGGUUUUAAAGGUCUCACAUGUUCUUGGUCAUCCAUUCCUGUGGACAGUAGUCCUCUGAAUUGGAAAGUAUAUUUCAUAAACGCCCAUCACAGAGGAAGAAGUACUGUCACGACUGUGCACAAAGCUAGAGGUUUUGCCAUCCCGAGGGCCCUUGGCCCUGUGUCGCUCAUUGAACUCUCCUCCCUACUUGCUGGCAGCCUUCACUGUCCUUGUCUUUCAGCUCCUCGGUGGGUGGUACUUCUACGUUCAGGCCUACAAAUCUCUGAGACACAGGUCAGCCAACAUGGACGUGCUCAUCGUCCUGGCCACAAGCAUUGCUUAUGUUUAUUCUCUGGUCAUCCUGGUGGUUGCUGUGGCUGAGAAGGCGGAGAGGAGCCCUGUGACAUUCUUCGACACGCCCCCCAUGCUCUUCGUGUUCAUUGCCCUGGGCCGGUGGCUGGAACACUUGGCAAAGGUAACAGCAGCUUCAGGUUCAGAAAAGAGCUGCUCCUUCAGUAAACAAAUCUCACUUCCUCUGAACACCAUGUUUAGAAUUACUAAUUAUACACAGCAUAGAGACUUAAAGAAAUAGGAAACCUCCAUAUAAUUAAGGUGCUCUAGUCACUAAUCUCCAAAUUGGUCACUACUUCUGAAAUCCCAGCUAAUCUGGUUAAUUAUUAAAACCAUCAUUCAGGUGUAUUGUGUAAACUAAAGAACCCUGGCCUUCAGGGCAGAGCCUACAUUGUCUCUUGGUGCAAAACUGAAUAUGUAGUUGGUCUAGACAUCCAUACAUCCUCCUCAAGGUCAUGCCAUUUUUAACACCCUUCAUUGUCCCCAACACUGAAAUGUAUCUUACAAGAGAAUGGAACUCAGGCCCUAAAAGAAAUUAGAUUGAACCUAAAAGAAAAUGGUCAGUGGGAAGACUGAUGUUUGUUUCCAGUCUGAAAUGUAAUUCCCAAACUUUAGUGGCACAGGCACUGUGCAUCAGUGUGGAAGUGACAUGUGGCCAUGUGUGGUGGAUAGCAAGUAACGCCCACCUGCAGAGCCUUUUAUCGUGCUGUGCGGCUGUUUCUCUCGCACCAGCUGUCUCUAACACCACGCUUGUGACUCUCAGGCUGGGUUUGGACAGGUCUGCUUUCGAUAGCUCUCAUUUCACAUUCUGGUUAUUUCCUAGAGCAAAACCUCAGAAGCCCUGGCUAAACUCAUGUCUCUCCAAGCCACAGAAGCCACCGUUGUGACCCUUGGUGAGGACAAUUUAAUCAUCAGGGAGGAGCAAGUCCCCAUGGAGCUGGUGCAGCGGGGCGAUAUCGUCAAGGUGGUCCCUGGGGGAAAGUUUCCAGUGGAUGGGAAAGUCCUGGAAGGCAAUACCAUGGCUGAUGAGUCCCUCAUCACAGGAGAAGCCAUGCCAGUCACUAAGAAACCUGGAAGCACUGUAAUUGCGGGGUCUAUAAAUGCACAUGGCUCUGUGCUCAUUAAAGCUACCCACGUGGGCAAUGACACCACUUUGGCUCAGAUUGUGAAACUGGUGGAAGAGGCUCAGAUGUCAAAGGCACCCAUUCAGCAGCUGGCUGACCGGUUUAGUGGAUAUUUUGUCCCAUUUAUCAUCAUCAUGUCAACUUUGACGUUGGUGAACCCCAACAAGCACAUCUCCCAGACAGAGGUGAUCAUCCGGUUUGCUUUCCAGACGUCCAUCACGGUGCUGUGCAUUGCCUGCCCCUGCUCCCUGGGGCUGGCCACGCCCACGGCUGUCAUGGUGGGCACCGGGGUGGCCGCACAGAAUGGCAUCCUCAUCAAGGGAGGCAAGCCCCUGGAGAUGGCGCACAAGAUAAAGACUGUGAUGUUUGACAAGACUGGCACCAUUACCCAUGGCGUCCCCAGGGUCAUGCGGGUGCUCCUGCUGGGGGAUGUGGCCACACUGCCCCUCAGGAAGGUUCUGGCUGUGGUGGGGACUGCGGAGGCCAGCAGUGAACACCCCUUGGGCGUGGCAGUCACCAAAUACUGUAAAGAGGAACUUGGAACAGAGACCUUGGGAUACUGCACGGACUUCCAGGCAGUGCCAGGCUGUGGAAUUGGGUGCAAAGUCAGCAACGUGGAAGGCAUCCUGGCCCACAGUGAGCGCCCUUUGAGGGCACUGGCCAGUCACCUGAAUGAGGCUGGCAGCCUUCCCGCAGAAAAAGAUGCAGCCCCCCAGACCUUCUCUGUGCUGAUUGGAAACCGUGAGUGGCUGAGGCGCAACGGUUUAACCAUUUCUAGCGACGUCAGUGACGCUAUGACAGACCACGAGAUGAAAGGACAGACAGCCAUCCUGGUGGCUAUUGACGGUGUGCUCUGUGGGAUGAUCGCUAUUGCAGAUGCUGUCAAGCAGGAGGCUGCCCUGGCUGUGCACACGCUGCAAAGCAUGGGUGUGGACGUGGUUCUGAUCACGGGGGACAACCGGAAGACAGCCAGAGCCAUUGCCACCCAGGUUGGCAUCAACAAAGUCUUUGCAGAGGUGCUGCCUUCGCACAAGGUGGCCAAGGUCCAGGAGCUCCAGAAUAAAGGGAAGAAAGUCGCCAUGGUGGGGGAUGGGGUCAAUGACUCCCCAGCCUUGGCCCAGGCAGACAUGGGUGUUGCCAUUGGCACCGGCACGGAUGUGGCCAUCGAGGCAGCCGACGUCGUCCUUAUCAGAAAUGAUUUGCUGGACGUGGUGGCUAGCAUUCACCUUUCCAAGAGGACUGUCCGAAGGAUACGCAUCAACCUGGUCCUGGCACUGAUUUAUAACCUGGUUGGGAUACCCAUUGCAGCAGGUGUCUUCAUGCCCAUCGGCAUUGUGCUGCAGCCCUGGAUGGGCUCAGCGGCCAUGGCAGCCUCCUCUGUGUCUGUGGUGCUCUCAUCCCUGCAGCUCAAGUGCUAUAAGAAGCCUGACCUGGAGAGGUAUGAGGCACAGGCGCAUGGCCACAUGAAGCCCCUGACGGCAUCGCAGGUCAGUGUGCACAUAGGCAUGGAUGACAGGCGGAGGGACUCCCCCAGGGCCACACCAUGGGACCAGGUCAGCUAUGUCAGCCAGGUGUCGCUGUCCUCCCUGACGUCCGACAAGCCAUCUCGGCACAGCGCUGCAGCAGACGAUGGUGGGGACAAGUGGUCUCUGCUCCUGAAUGGCAGGGAUGAGGAGCAGUACAUCUGAUGACUUCAGGCAGGCGGACCGGGGCAGGGACUUGCCUCCACUCACCACAAGCUGAGCAGGACAGCCAGCAGCAGGAUGGGCUGAGCUAGCCUCCAGCUUUGGGGACUUCCACUCCCUGGAUAUGUCCAGUCAUCCUGCCCUGCAGCACGCGGCCUUGUCUGGGUGCAGCUGGGCUUGGCCUGGAGAGGACGGCCCUGCCUGCCUCUUGGCCUCACGGGACCGUCAGCAUGGGCUUUGUCUUGGACUCUAGUCCUUGGCUGGACUGUAGAAGGUGAGAGGCGAGUCACCCUCCUCACAGACCUCUGCUUGGAGUAUUUAGGAUGACUGCUAUGAAAUGGAGAACAGUUUCAUCAGGACCAAAAAACCUCACUGGGCCUUUCCAGAGAACUGCAGACCUCACUGUCAGGCUCUUUCUGAUGACGCCUGUCUGUGUGCAUCAUGUUUCUGAGACCACAGUUUACCUCAGGUGUGCCUGUUGCUUUCUUCCUGCAU